CCUACGGGGGACUGCAGUGGGGGAUAUUGCACAAUGGGGGAAACCCUGAUGCAGCGACGCCGCGUGGGCGAAGAAGUAUUUCGGUAUGUAAAGCCCUAUCAGCAGGGAAGAAGAAAUGACGGUACCUGAGUAAGAAGCACCGGCUAAAUACGUGCCAGCAGCCGCGGUAAUACGUAUGGUGCAAGCGUUAUCCGGAUUUACUGGGUGUAAAGGGAGCGCAGGCGGCACGGCAAGCCUGAUGGGAAAGCCCGGGGCCCAACCGCGGGACUGCAUUGGGAACUACCGGGCUGGAGUGCCGGAGAGGUAGGCGGAAUUCCUAGUGUAGCGGUGAAAUGCGUAGAUAUUAGGAGGAACACCAGUGGCGAAGGCGGCCUACUGGACGGUGACUGACGCUGAGGCUCGAAAGCGUGGGGAGCAAACAGGAUUAGAUACCCGAGUAGUC
rnacentral:rRNA from 1 species